GUAUUAAGAGUUUCUUUAGACAUUUAUCUAAACUGCUAUCUUUUAGGAGUUCCCGUAGUGGCUCAGUGGUUAAGGAAUUCAACUAGGAACCAUGAGGUUGUAGGUUCGAUCCCUGGCCUUGCUCAAUGGGUUAAGGAUCCAGUGUUGCCAUGAGCUGUGGUGUAGGUUGCAGAUGUGGCUCAGAUUCCAAGUUGCUGUGGCUCUGGUGUAGGCCAGCAGCUACAGCUCCAAUUCGACCCCUAGCCUGGGAACCUCCAUAUGCCACGGGAGCAGCCCUAGAAAUGGCAAACAAACAAACAAACAAAAAAAACCUGCUAUCUUUUAAAAUGGCAACUUCUUAGUGAUUUAAUCAAAGCCAAUACUUUGGCAUCUCCUUCUGUGAUUUGAAGCACGUUAGAAACUCAUCCUGUCCUACAUUUAUUCCAGUCAUGAGUGAAAUAACAAGGAUACUUAGAAUGAUAUUCAGGUAUUCUGAUCUGGAAUAAGUGAGGUCAAUUUUUACACCUAGUGGUUCUAGUGUUUUUAUAGUAACUAUUUCAAUAGCCAAACUUACUUUUCAUCCCAGAAUGUAUCCUACGAUACAGGUCAGUGAGAGGAGAUUCAGGGGAAAAUGGUGGCUUCGUAGAACAUGCCAAAAUAUUUUAUCAGUUACAAUCAAUAGGAAACUAAUCCGUAUAAAUAAAAGAACUUUUUUUUUCUGAAUGUAUCUUUAUAUUUUUUAUCACAUCAUGGUAAAAUUGCUAGAUACAUUUUUACUAAGAUUUGGGGAAUAAGUUUUAGUCUAUUUGGAAUACAGGUUAUGAGAUACACUCAAAAUUUAUUUUGGAGGUUCAGACUAUAUCUCAAAAAAGAUGAUUAUUCCUCAAAAAAGCCUAUUUUCUCAGUCACAUGCACAGCUGUUAGCAACUCCUCCAACGAGCAGUGGCAAAGUUCUAUUUAUUUCACAGAGGCUUACAAUUUCUUCAGACCAUGACAAUGAGGCCCAAUAGACCAUAUGAGUUUACUUGCCAUUUUUAUAAACAUAUCCUACAAUUAACCUUGUAUAUAUAUAUUAAGAUUUUUGAACAAAGAGAUGGGUUCUAAUGGAAGAAAGUAAAUACCUUUUCAUUAUGUUCAUUAUGCAAAAUCCAGACAUUGCAGAAAUAUAUCCCGUAUUUCAACAUACAUAACUGUUUUUUAAUGACCUAGUUAAUCAAUAAUAUAAUAUUUUCUUAUUUAAAAAUUUAGUUGAGGAGUUCCCGUCGUGGUUCAGCAGAAACAAAUCUGACUAGCAUCCAUGAGGAUGCAGGUGCAACCCCUGGCCUCACUUGGUGGGUUAAGGAUCCAGCGUUGCUGUGAGCUGUGGUGUAGGUUGCAGAUGCAGUUUGGAUCCCACGUUGCUGUGGCUGUGGUGUAGACUGGCAGCUGUAGCUCAGGAUUUGACCCCUAGCCUGGGAAACCUCAUAUGCCGCAGAUGCUGCCCUAAAAAGACAAUAAACAAAAGAAUAAAUAAAUAAAUAAAUAAAUAAAUAAAUAAAUAAAUAAAUAAAAAUUUAGUUGUAUGCUUUCGGAUAAAGAUCUUUUGCAACUCAGACAUAGGUGGUGGUUGUGGUUGUUGUUUUUUCAAUAUAGAAGAGGAAAAAUUUCUCCACUACUAUCUUAGGGUUUCUGUCUGUGUCUAAGAUUUAAACUGACAAAGGGCAGAUUAACGGGAGAAAAGCAUACAUGUUUUAGUUUAUUUUUACAUGACCAUGGAUGCCUUCAUUAAAAAAAAAGAAAAGAAAACCCCAAAUUUCAGUUGGAGUCAAAUGUUUAUAUACUGAGUUGGACAAAGAAUAGUAAACUAUGAAAACUUGACAAAGUAAAGGGGAUUGGGUUAGGGUAGUUAAUCAUAAGAAAAGGACUAAAGGAUAAGAAUUGGUUUAACAAACUUUAUUUAUACAGAUUUCUCUCUUCCUCAACUUCCCAUUUCUGGUGAUAAUGUUUCUUUCUUCAUGGUAUAGAGAAAACAUCUUUUCCGUGAUUGUUUUAUCUCCUGCUUUCAGGGAAGAAAAAAAAAUAAGAGGAAGGAGGAAGGUCAGGCUGCCCUUCUUGCAUCUGCAGUUUUCCAAAUGCCUUUAACUUAAAAUAGCCAAUAUGCUAUGUGGCAUAUCUUGGGGUGGCUUGUUCUGAACUCCUUCAUAAAUCAUCACCGUUUUGCAUAUUGUAUUAAUUGUCUAUCUUUGUUGUAAUAAAUCACCACAAACUUAAUGGUUUAACACAAUGCAGAUUUAUUGUCUUCAGAUCUGGAAGUCAGAAGUCCAAAAUGGACCAGCAGGGAUGUGUUUCUUCUGAAGCAAUAGGAAAAAAAAAUCUGUGUCCGUGCUUCUUCCAGCUUCUGGAGGCUGCCUACUUCCUUGGCUCAGCUCCUUCCUCCAUCUUCAAAACCAACAGAGGGUAUCUUCAAAUUCUCUCCCUGUUUCUCCUUCCCUCCAUUCUUUUCUCCUUUCCUCCUUCUGCCCCCUCCCCCACCCCCUCCACAAUUCUCACAUCUGCUUCUGUCAUCAUGUCAGCUUCUCUGCCUGUGAGCCUCCUGCCUCUCUCUUAUAGGUCCAAGAUAAUUUUCCUAUUCAAAAUCCUUAAUUUAGUCAUGUUUGUAAAAAUCUCUUUUAGCAUGUAAGAUAACAUCUUCACAAGUUUGGGGGAUUUUAGGGUAUGGAUAUCUCCGAAUGUCAUUAUUCUACCUACCGCACAUAUAGCAAAGGAAAAAUACAUAUAUAAGUGAAAUCAGUUAAUUCUGAUCUCUCUAAAUUUUCAUAUCCAGAGAUUCCUUUUUAAAGUAUUUAUAUAAAUAUAAAACUUACUCGGAGUUCCCGUCGUGGCGCAGUGUUGUUAACGAUUCCGACUGGGAACCAUGGGGUUGCAGGUUCGGUCCCUGCCCUUGCUCAGUGGGUUGACGAUCCGGCGUUGCCGUGAGCUGUGGUGUAGGUUGCAGACGCGACUCGGAUCCCUCGUUGCUGUGGCUCUGGUGUAGGCCGGUGGCUACAGCGCCGAUUUGACCCCUAGCCUGGGAACCCCCAUAUGCCGCGGGAGCGGCCCAAGAAAUAGCAA
rnacentral:lncRNA from 1 species